rnacentral:rRNA from 1 species
AUUAAACGCUGGCGGCAUGCCUUACACAUGCAAGUCGAACGGCAGCACGGGGGCAACCCUGGUGGCGAGUGGCGAACGGGUGAGUAAAGCAUCGGAACGUGCCCUGGAGUGGGGGAUAACGUAGCGAAAGUUACGCUAAUACCGCAUAUUCUGUGAGCAGGAAAGCAGGGGAUCGCAAGACCUUGCGCUCUGGGAGCGGCCGAUGUCGGAUUAGCUAGUUGGUGGGGUAAAGGCCUACCAAGGCGACGAUCCGUAGCGGGUCUGAGAGGAUGAUCCGCCACACUGGGACUGAGACACGGCCCAGACUCCUACGGGAGGCAGCAGUGGGGAAUUUUGGACAAUGGGCGAAAGCCUGAUCCAGCCAUGCCGCGUGAGUGAAGAAGGCCUC